UACGUAGGGGGGCUAGCGUUGUCCGGACUCCUUGGGCGUAAAGAGCGUGUAGGCGGCCCGGUACGUCCGCUGUGAAAGUCGGGGGCUCAACCCUCGAAUGCCGGUGGAUACUGUCGGGCUAGAGUGCGGAAGAGGCGAGUGGAAUUCCUGGUGUAGCGGUGAAAUGCGCAGAUAUCAGGAGGAACACCAAUUGCGAAGGCAGCUCGCUGGGACGUAACUGACGCUGAGACGCGAAAGCGUGGGGAGCAAACAGG
rnacentral:rRNA from 1 species